AGAUAUCCGUGCAGUGAAACGUGUGAAAAAUGAAGUGCGCGGUCAUAAAUUGCUUCAACUCUAAGCACCGAAAUCCCAAUGGGGUGACCUUCCACAGAUUUCCAAGUAACUUGCAAGUUCGGGAAAUUCGGGCUACACGUCUAGAGCUCUCUAUGUCCCUUGUAGGGAAGGAUAAGUAUGUGUGCAGCAUGCACUUCAGGCCAGAAGAUAUCAAACAGAAAAAUACUUCUAAAACGCAGCGCUUCAAAUAUGUGCAUUUUUUUGGAUCCAACUGCUCUUCCGAUUGACUUAAGGCAGACACAAGCAGAUUCUGUUGUUCUUCUUGAUGACAAUAC